rnacentral:rRNA from 1 species
CACACGACUCUCGGCAACGGAUAUCUCGGCUCUCGCAUCGAUGAAGAACGUAGCAAAAUGCGAUACCUGGUGUGAAUUGCAGAAUCCCGCGAACCAUCGAGUUUUUGAACGCAAGUUGCGCCCGAGGCCUUUUGGUUGAGGGCACGCCUGCCUGGGCGUCACGC